rnacentral:rRNA from 1 species
UAGGCGCGUGAGAGAACGCUUGCUAAGGAACUCGGCAAAAUAGCACCGUAACUUCGGGAGAAGGUGUGCCCGCCGACGUGAUGGAACUUGCUUCCUGAGCGUUGGCGGGUCGCAGUGAAAUGGGGGUUGCGACUGUUUACUAAAAACACAGGACUGUGCGAACUCGUAAGAGGACGUAUACGGUCUGACGCCUGCCCGGUGCUGGAAGGUUAAGGGGAGAGGUUAGCGCAAGCGAAGCUUCGAACCGAAGCCCCAGUAAACGGCGGCCGUAACGAUAACGGUCCUAAGGUAGCAAAAUUCCUUGUCGGGUAAGUUCCGACCUGCACGAGGGCGUAACGACAUCCCUACUGUCUCGGCCAGCGACUCAGCGAAAUUGUAUCGGGGGUGAAGAUACCCUCUACCCGCGGCAAGACGGAAAGACCCCAUGAACCUUUACUGCAACUUGGCAGUGAGGUUCGGAACAGUCUGCGUAGGAUAGGUAGGAGGCUUUGAAGUCGGGAUUCCGGUCUCGAUGGAGCCGUCGUUGAAAUACUACCCUGGCUUUUCUGGACUUCUAACCUAGGCCCCUCAACGGGGUCGGGGACACUGCCUGGUGGGCAGUUUGACUGGGGCGGUCGCCUCCCAAACAGUAACGGAGGCGCGCGAAGGUACCCUCAGGCUGAUUGGAAACCAGCCGGCGAGUGCAAUGGCACAAGGGUGCUUAACUGUGAGAGGGACACCUCGAGCAGGUGCGAAAGCAGGCCAUAGUGAUCCGGUGGUCCCGCAUGGAAGGGCCAUCGCUCAUCGGACAAAAGGUACUCUGGGGAUAACAGGCUGAUCGCGCCUGAGAGUCCAUAUCGGCGGCGCGGUUUGGCACCUCGAUGUCGGCUCAUCGCAUCCUGGGGCUGGAGCAGGUCCCAAGGGUUUGGCUGUUCGCCAAUUAAAGCGGUACGCGAGCUGGGUUUAGAACGUCGUGAGACAGUUCGGUCCCUAUCUGCCGUGGGCGCAGGAUACUUGAGAGGAGCUGUUCAUAGUACGAGAGGACCUGAACGGACGCACCUCUAGUGUUCCGGUUGUCAUGCCAAUGGCAUAGCCGGGUAGCUAUGUGCGGAACGGAUAACCGCUGAAAGCAUCUAAGCGGGAAGCCGGCCUCAAGACAAGGUAUCCCGGGGCAUAAGCCCCCUGAAGGCCCCUUGAAGACUACAAGGUGAUAGGCGGGAGGUAGAAGCGCAGCGAUGCGCGGAGCUGACCCGUACUAAUAGGCCGUGCGGCUUGACCU